GGUUGUCGUCAGCUCGUGUCGUGAGAUGUUGGUUAAGUCCGCAACGAGCGCAACCCCUAUUGUUAGUUGCCAUCAUUCAGUUGGGCGACUCUAGCGAGACUGCCGGUAAUAAACCGGAGGAAGGUGGGGAUGACGUCAAAUCAUCAUGCCCCUUAUGACCUGGGCUACACACGUGCUACAAUGGUUGGUACAACGAGUUGCGAGUCGGUGACGGCGAGCUAAUCUCUUAAAGCCAAUCUCAGUUCGGAUUGUAGGCUGCAACUCGCCUACAUGAAGUCGGAAUCGCUAGUAAUCGCGGAUCAGCACGCCGCGGUCGAAUACGUUCCCGGGCCUU
rnacentral:rRNA from 1 species